UACGUAGGCGGAAAAUUAAGUCAGUAGUGAAAUCCUGCAGCUUAACUGUAGAACUGUUAUUGAUACUGGUUUUCUUGAAUAUAGUUGAGAUAGGCGGAAUGUGUAAUGUAGCGGUGAAAUGCUUAGAUAUUACACAGAACACCGAUUGCGAAGGCAGCUUACUAAGCUAUGAUUGACGCUGAGGUACGAAAGCGUGGGGAGCGAACAGGAUUAGAUACCCUGGUAGUCC
rnacentral:rRNA from 1 species